UUCUCCUGCCUCAGCCUCCUGAGUGGCUGGGAUUACAGGCACCCACCACCAGGCCCAGCUAAUUUUUGUAUUUUUAGUAGAGAUGGGGUUUCACUAUGUUGGCCAGGCUCAUCUCAGACUCCCAACCUCAGGUGAUCCGCCUGCCUUGGCCUCCCAUAGUGCUGGGAUUACAGGCAUGAGUCACCACGCCCAGCCUAUAUAUAUUUUUUGAGACAGGGUCUUGCUCUAUUGCCCAGGCUGAAGUGCAGUGGCACGAUCACAGCUCACGGACACCUUGAUCUCCUGGGCUCAAGCUAUCUCCUCCCACUCCUCUUGAGUAGCUGGAGCUGCAGGUAUCUGCCACCACACUCAGCUAAUUUUUAAUUUUUUAGACAGACAGGGGUCUUCCUGUGUUCCCCAGGCUGACCCCAAACUCCUGGGCUCAAGCAAUCCUGCUUUACCUCCCAAAGUGCUGGGAUUACAGGUGUGAGCCACCACAUCUGGCCCAAGUCGCCCAAAUUUUUUAUAGCUUGGUUUGGAAGGCAAUGUAAUAUAUUAAAAUCGUGGGUCCUGGAGUCAGAAAGAUCCAGGUUUAAAUCCAGAGUCUGUCAUUUAUUAGCUUUAUGAAUUUGAGCAAUUUCGUCUCACUUGUAAAUAUAGGGAAUAGCUCCUACCUCUCAGGUAUGUUGCAAAAAAUUAUAUAAAAGCACUUAGCAUAGUGGCCAUGACAGAGUAAGCACUUGGUAAAUCAUGCCAUUUAUCUCAUCUAUAAGGCACGAAAGUAGAAUUUUACAAGUUGUACAGAAGUAGAAGGCUUGGAGUGGACACUACAUUAAAAGGAUUUAAAAAAUGGAGCCAGGCAGAGGCAGGCAUCUAUAGUCCCAGCUAUUCAGGAGGCCUGAGGCUGGAGGAUCCCUUGAACCUAGGAGUUUGAGGUCAGCCUGGGCAACAUAGUGAGAUUGUGGCUCCAAAAAAAUAAUAGUAAAUAGGUUGCUCUGCCUAUGGAGUAGCAUUCUUCUAUUUCUUUACUUUUUAAAUAAACUUGCUUUUACUUUAUGGAAAAAAUAAACUUUUAAAUGACUAGAUGAGAAACUUGAAUAUCAAUCUGAGAAAUAAAAUCUGAUUAGGAAUGUAAUUGGGAUAACCUAAACUUUUGGUAAGAGUGACCUAAAGAAAAUAGCACUUAGAUAAGCUACUUUGUUUUCCUUUUUCACUUUACUAUUUUUUUUUUAUAUAUAUAUUUGUUCCUAUUUACGGGGUACUUGUGAUAUUCUGAGACAUGCAUAGAAUGUAUAAUGAUCAAGCCAGGAUAUUUAUGUUAUUCAUUAUCUCAAACAUUUAUCAUUUAUUUGUGUUGGGAACAUUUCAAAUCUAGCCAUUUUGAAAUUUACAUUGUUAAGUAUAGUCACCCUACUAUGCUAUCAAGCAUUAAAACUUAUUCCUUCUAUCUAACUGUAUGUUUGUAUCUACCCAUUAACCUACCUUCCUUCAUCGCCCCACCCUGUACACCCCCUACCCAGCCUCUGGUAACUAUCAUUCUACUCUCUACCUCCAUGAAAUAAAUUUUUUAGCUCACAUGAGUAAGAACAUGCA